GAUGUGAUGAAAUUUCGAGCACUGCUAACAGCAUACAUAUGAUACUUAUUUGCUGCAUCUACCAGAUAAUUUUGCAAAUGAUGUUAACGGUGCCUUUAGGAGUUUAUUUAAAGGUCGACUUUCUGUUUUAAGCACGCAAACUAAUCAAACUUUGACCAAUGCAAAUAUGAAGGAUGUCUACGAUUUUAAUAUACCGAACCUUAUGGAUUUAGCACCUUUAAGGUAACUUGUUAACACAUUGUAUUAUUGCACCGUUUUCUGUAACACUAUUUCUAUAACUUAUU